AAUAAUAUAAAAUGAUUAGUUUUUCCUUUUUUAUAUACUAGUGGACCUCAUUAAAUGACAUAUUUUGUCUUUACUUCAUGUACUUAUUGCCAUCCUUGACCAAUUUUUUUUUACCUUAGGUCAUCAUCCUCGUAAGGAUGGAGGGAAAAGUUUAGAACGAAUAUUAUAGAAUCCAAAUGCCCUACAGCUAUAUUUGAAUAAGAC
rnacentral:lncRNA from 1 species